GGCCGCCUUUGAGGCCCAUGAGCAUGAUGCCACGAAAGUUCACUGCAUCAUGCUCGCCACCAUGAACCUCGAACUCCAAAAGUCCUAUGAGGACAUGUAUCCAUAUGAAAUGCAUCAGGAUUUGCUGGACAUCUAUCAUUAGAGCGCGAGGCAAGAGCGUUAUGAGAUCAUUACUAACAUGAUCACCGCUAAGAUGGGGAGUGGAGAAUCCCUAACCUAUCAUUUGCUAAAAAUGCAGAGGUAUGUUGAUCGUCUUCUCAAACUUAAUGUUAAGUUUGAUGAGGAUUUGGCUAUCGACAUAAUCUUCCACUCCUUGCCCUCCUGCUAGAAUCAGUUUAGGAUGACCUACCACAUGAACAAAGAGGAGGUCUCCUUGAGCAAGCUCCAAGGACUCUUGAGGAUUGUUGAAAGCAACCUCAAAGACAUGAUCCUCCACUCCUUGCCCUCCUGCUAGAAUCAGUUUAGGAUGACCUACCACAUGAACAAAGAGGAGGUCUCCUUGAGCAAGCUCCAAGGACUCUUGAGGACUGCUGAAAGCAACCUCAAAGACAAAUCCGUUGCAUCGUCCCCUACUGUGGCCGCUCCUGUGAUGGUAAUAGGUCAAGGAAAGGGCAAAAAGAGGAAGGCUCCAUGUAAGAGCCACCAUAAGGGGAAACCCCGUGAUGGUUCGUCCUCAAGUGGGACCAAAGCUGGCCCCGUUAAACCCUCUUCUGAUCCUAAAGAAGCAGAGUGCUUCUAUUGCCACCAAAAGGGCCACUGGAAGCGAAGCUGCCCACAAUAUCUGCAGGACAUAAGAGAUGGGAAGAUUAAGCCCACCUUUGCAGGUAUGUAUUCUAUUAAAUCUAAUAACUCAUCAUUUGCUACUUCAUGGGUUCUUGAUACAGGGUGUGGUUACCACAUUUGUUCUGAUAUGCAGGGCCUAAAAAGAAGUAGGGAGAUGGAACAUGGGAAGAUGAACCUGAUUAUGGGAAACAGAAGAUCGUCGCCUGUGACCAAAGUUGGUGUUUAUUCUUUAGUGUUAAGUAAUGGGCUAGGAAUAGAUUUAGACAAUUGCUGUUAUUCACUAGAUAUGGCAAGAAACAUUAUUUCAUUUCACGGUUUGUUUAGACAAGGUUUCAGAUAUUCUUUUGAUAAUAGUAAUGGUUCUAUUAACGUUUAUUUGAAUGGUGUCUUGUAUUUCAAUGCGUUACCUUGUAAUGGGAUUUAUGAAUCUAUGAUGAUUGUUGAUAAUUU
rnacentral:lncRNA from 1 species